AAUUGCUCAAGAUUCCUCUGGGGCUUCAGCUUUCUUAAUUAACCUGAAAGGUCAUUGUUCAAUGAUGCUCCAUACAUCCAAGUAUAUUCUCCGAGAAGGCGAUGACUAUGAUGAAAAGACAUUAAAGAAGUAAUGUAGACCAGGCAAUUAAAACAUCAGUGGUGAUCAGAGAAACAGUGGAAAGAGGUACACAGACAGUGUCUUCUGAACCAACAAAGAGGUGGAUGGGUCCCCCAGUGAUUCUGCCAUCCCCUCCACGUCUAUUCAUCAUGCUAUGUUGAGUGUGAUUUAUGAAGCUCCAACAUCAAUUCAAGAGGAUCGAUUCCUAAUCCAGAGAAGAUAUAAGCCUAGAGCUUCAAGGGGUCACCAUGAGGAGAUAACCUGCCCAGCAUGACUGUACCAAAGAAAGCGAAGCCAAGAGACAGAGAGAAAAUGUGCAAGCCCUAAUGACUGAAUCCCUAAAAUAAGACAUGCCUGAAAUAUGAUACUGCUGGACUUCUCAGGAGGGAGAAGCUAAAUAAAGCUGGCUUCCCGAAACUACUCAUGAAAGGAAACCUUCAAUGUGACAAAAAUGAUAAGAACUCUGUGAACAAAAGAGGCAAAAGUUAUCAAUAAGGCAGCUUGGGUCACCGGGCCAGGGAGAUGGGAGGAUUUGAACCUCAGAAUAUUCUAACUAGGCGAGCAAUGUCACACUGCUGAUGCAGAGUGUCAGAUACAAUCAGAUCUUACCCACUUGAGGGUUUCUUGUGUCCCAUUAAACUUAACUGCCUGAGGACUCACUCUGUUCAAUGUUUGAAGUGGAACUGAGAUUUAAG
rnacentral:lncRNA from 10 species